UGUCAGUCUAUCACACAUUAUCUUUAUUUAUUUAUGGCAGGAAUAUAUGUUUAUUGUAGCAGGUAAAUCCUUCUAUUUUUAGGAGAAGGAAGGCUAACUACUUUGAAGCUGGUAAAUCUUUUGGUUUAUGUUGUACUUAUACAGAUACCUUGGAAUUUCAGGCAAGAUAUAUACUUUUUCCUGGUCAUUUUUUGAUGAAGUUGGAGUGCUUCACAACUUAGAGUUGUUUUUUGGUUCUUUGUUUGAAGGGCUUCUGUGUGCAUGCAGGGCAGAAGCAAUAUCAUGGUGGCACACUUGGUGUGCCCAUGCCAUCAGUCUCAAGCAUUGGGUGUAGAAGUUCUCCGCCAACCUGAAGUGUGUGUGC
rnacentral:lncRNA from 1 species